CUCCUUGUUUAAACAUAUCAAUGUGUGUGUGUUAUCUCCCUGUAUAAACAUAUCAAUGUUUGUGUGUUAUCUCCCUGUAUAAACUGUGCAUAUCAAUGUUUGUGUGUUAUCUCCCUGUUUAAACAUAUCAAUGUUUGUGUGUUAUCUCCCUGUAUAUACAUAUCAAUGUUUGUGUGUUAUCACCCUGUAUAAACAUAUCAAUGUUGGUGUGUUAUCUCCCUGUUUCUUAUAAACAUAUCAAUGUUUAUGGGUUAUCUCCCUGUUUCUUAUAAACACAUCAAUGUUUG
rnacentral:lncRNA from 1 species